GAUGAAUGCUAGCGGGGGGCCUAACACAUGCAAGUCGAACGCUUCGGCGUGGCAAACGGGUGCGUAACACGUACUUAUCUGCCCUGGAGUGGGGGAUAACAUCGGAAACGGUGAUAAUCCGCCAUAAUCCCUACGGGGGAAAGAUUUAUCGCUCUAGGAGGAGGGUGCGGCCUAUUAGUUAGUUGGUGAGGUAAUGGCUCACCAAGACGAUGAUGGGUAGCUGGUCUGAGAGGAUGAUCAGCCACAAUGGAACUGAGACACGGUCCAUACCCCUACGGGGGGCAGCAGUGGGGAAUAUUGCACAAUGGAGGAAACUCUGAUGCAGCCACCCCGCGUGGAGGAUGAAGCAUUACGGUGUGUAAACUCCUUUUCUGGAGGAAGACGACUGACGGUACUCCAGGAAUAAGCGACGGCUAACUACG
rnacentral:rRNA from 1 species